rnacentral:lncRNA from 1 species
UAAAAACCCAUGUUGUGGUAUAGGCUUGGAGAAGAGUAAUGGGAAUGUUGCCUGAAAUAAAAGACUCUUGAGGUGCUGGCUGAACAUGAGCCAGCAAAAUGCCCAGGUGGCCAAGGAGGCCAUCAGUUUAAGUUUCCUCAUCAUAUAGUUGUUAAUAUUCUUUCUUAUCUUUCAAGUAACGUUAUAUGUAUGCUUCAUCAAUGAAUUACUUCCCUUCCUUCUGUGUCUUCUCAAGAAAACUUCUCAUUUAAUGUCCCUUCAGUUUCUAUUAUACAUGCUUUGACUUGCCC